GAGUUUGAUCCUGGCUCAGAUUGAACGCUGGCGGCAGGCCUAACACAUGCAAGUCGGACGGUAGCACAGAAGAGCUUGCUCUUCGGGUGACGAGUGGCGGACGGGUGAGUAAUGUCUGGGAAACUGCCCGAUGGAGGGGGAUAACUACUGGAAACGGUAGCUAAUACCGCAUAACGUCUUCGGACCAAAGUGGGGGACCUUCGGGCCUCACGCCAUCGGAUGUGCCCAGAUGGGAUUAGCUAGUAGGUGGGGUAAUGGCUCACCUAGGCGACGAUCCCUAGCUGGUCUGAGAGGAUGACCAGCCACACUGGAACUGAGACACGGUCCAGACUCCUACGGGAGGCAGCAGUGGGGAAUAUUGCACAAUGGGCGCAAGCCUGAUGCAGCCAUGCCGCGUGUAUGAAGAAGGCCUUCGGGUUGUAAAGUACUUUCAGCGGGGAGGAAGGCGCUGAGGUUAAUAACCUCGGCGAUUGACGUUACCCGGAGAAGAAGCUGUGGAUAAUUCCGUGUUAGUAGCCGUGGUAAUAGGGAGGGU
rnacentral:rRNA from 1 species